GAUUCCCCUAGUAACUGCGAGUGAAGCGGGAAAAGCUCAAAUUUAAAAUCUGGUAGUCUUUGGCUGCCCGAGUUGUAGUCUGGAGAAGCGUUUUCCGCGCUGGACCGUGUACAAGUCUCUUGGAACAGAGCGUCAUAGAGGGUGAGAAUCCCGUCUUUGACACGGACUACCAGUGCUUUGUGAUACGCUCUCAAAGAGUCGAGUUGUUUGGGAAUGCAGCUCAAAAUGGGUGGUAAAUUCCAUCUAAAGCUAAAUAUUGGCGAGAGACCGAUAGCGAACAAGUACCGUGAGGGAAAGAUGAAAAGCACUUUGGAAAGAGAGUUAAACAGUACGUGAAAUUGCUGAAAGGGAAACGCUUGAAGUCAGUCGCGUUGUUCAGAACUCAACCUGGCUUUUGCUUGGUGCAUUUUCUGUUGAACGGGCCAACAUCAGUUUUGAUUGCUGGAAAAAAGCCUUUGGAAUGUGGCACCUUCGGGUGUGUUAUAGCCUUUGGUUGUAUACAGUGAUUGGGACUGAGGACCGCAGCACGCCUUAUGGCCGGGGUUCGCCCACGUACGUGCUUAGG
rnacentral:rRNA from 1 species